rnacentral:rRNA from 1 species
ACAGGGGGAUAGUCCAGAGAAAUUUGGCAUAAUACCCCAUACGAUCAUUUAUUGGCAUCGAUAGAUGAGGAAAACUCCGGUGGUAGAAGAUGGGCAUGCGUCCUAUUAGUUAGUUGGUAAGGUAACGGCUUACCAAGACAUCGAUAGGUAGGGGUCCUGAGAGGGAGAUCCCCCACACUGGUACUGAGACACGGACCAGACUCCUACGGGAGGCAGCAGUGAGGAAUAUUGGACAAUGGAGGCAACUCUGAUCCAGCCAUGCCGCGUGCAGGAAGACGGCCCUACGGGUUGUAAACUGCUUUUAUACAGGAAGAAACGCCGCUACGUGUAGCGGUUUGACGGUACUGUACGAAUAAGGAUCGGCUAACUCCGUGCCAGCAGCCGCGGUAAUACGGAGGAUCCAAGCGUUAUCCGGAAUCAUUGGGUUUAAAGGGUCCGUAGGCGGUUUUUUAAGUCAGAGGUGAAAUCCUGCAGCUCAACUGUAGCAUUGCCUUUGAUACUGAAAGACUUGAGUUAUUGUGAAGUAGUUAGAAUGUGUAGUGUAGCGGUGAAAUGCAUAGAUAUUACACAGAAUACCGAUUGCGAAGGCAGAUUACUAACAAUAUACUGACGCUGAGGGACGAAAGCGUGGGUAGCGAACAGGAUUAGAUACCCUGGUAGUCCACGCCGUAAACGAUGGAUACUAGCUGUUCGACCAACAUUGGUUGGUUGAGUGGCUAAGCGAAAGUGAUAAGUUCC